rnacentral:rRNA from 1 species
GAUGAACGCUAGCUACAGGCUUAACACAUGCAAGUCGAGGGGCAGCAUGAUUGAAGCUUGCUUCAAUCGAUGGCGACCGGCGCACGGGUGAGUAACACGUAUCCAACCUGCCGAUAACUCGGGGAUAGCCUUUCGAAAGAAAGAUUAAUACCCGAUAGUAUAGUAUUUCCGCAUGGUUUCACUAUUAAAGAACUUCGGUUAUCGAUGGGGAUGCGUUCCAUUAGAUAGUUGGCGGGGUAACGGCCCACCAAGUCAACGAUGGAUAGGGGUUCUGAGAGGAAGGUCCCCCACAUAGGAACUGAGACACGGUCCAAAGUCCUACGGGAGGCAGCAGUGAGGAAUAUUGGUCAGUGGACGAGAGUCUGAACCAGCCAAGUAGCGUGAAGGAUGACUGCCCUAUGGGUUGUAAACUUCUUUUAUACGGGAAUAAAGUGGAGUAUGCAUACUCCUUUGUAUGUACCGGAUGAAUAAGGAUCGGCUAACUCCGUG